CCUACGGGGGGCAGCAGUGGGGAAUAUUGGACAAUGGGGGCAUCCCUGAUCCAGCCAUGCCGCGUGUGUGAAGAAGGCCCUCGGGUUGUAAAGCACUUUCAGUGAGGAAGAACGCCUGGUGGUUAAUACCCAUCAGGAAAGACAUCACUCACAGAAGAAGCACCGGCUAACUCCGUGCCAGCAGCCGCGGUAAUACGGAGGGUGCGAGCGUUAAUCGGAAUUACUGGGCGUAAAGCGCGCGUAGGUGGCUUGAUAAGCCGGUUGUGAAAGCCCCGGGCUCAACCUGGGAACGGCAUCCGGAACUGUCAAGCUAGAGUGCAGGAGAGGAAGGUAGAAUUCCCGGUGUAGCGGUGAAAUGCGUAGAGAUCGGGAGGAAUACCAGUGGCGAAGGCGGCCUUCUGGACUGACACUGACACUGAGGUGCGAAAGCGUGGGUAGCAAACAGGAUUAGAUACCCGGGUAGUC
rnacentral:rRNA from 1 species